UACGUAGGGGGCGAGCGUUGUCCGGAUUUACUGGGCGUAAAGCGCGUGUAGGCGGGAGAUUAAGUUGGGUGUGAAAGCCCGGGGCUCAACCCCGGGAUGCCGCCCAAGACUGGUCUCCUUGAGGACGGAAGAGGGGAGUGGAAUUCCUGGUGUAGCGGUGAAAUGCGUAGAGAUCAGGAGGAACACCCGUGGCGAAGGCGGCUCCCUGGUCCGUUUCUGACGCUGGGACGCGAAAGCGCGGGGAGCGAACGGG
rnacentral:rRNA from 1 species